rnacentral:lncRNA from 1 species
AAAAACCUAAACAUGCAUUUCUACCCCAAAGAUCAACUUAAAACUUGUUUAAAACAUAAAAUGAGCUCAAGAUCGGCCCUUACCUCUUGAAGAUCGAGAGGAGAACGACCCUAACUCGGAGAUGGGAGAGAUUGAGCUUCUUGAACCUCAAAGUUUCAAAACUUGCUUUAUACUCGAAAAUCUUCAAAACGAAGGUGAAAACUCAUAAAAAUCAUGAAGAAUGGAAGGAAGAAACUCAAGAUCGGUGAGGGACGGCGGAGAGCUCACCUUGGCCGAAAAUGGGGAGAAAAACUCGCCCGUUUUCGGCUAAGGGACCCUUUUAUAGGUGGCUGGCCAGGCCACAUUCGGGAGCCGAAUGUGCCUCCGCAACGCAUGCAAGUUCGGCGGCCGAACCUGGACUUCCCUCACUUAUGCCUUCGGGGGUCUAAGGCUCUCCCGAAGUGCAUGCAUGUUCGGCGGCCGAACUUGAGGUUCGGCGGUCGAACCUGGGUCUUCCUCCAAGAUUAUUUUCAUGCAAAAACUCAUUUCCUUUUUACUUAAAACCAUGAAAUUCAUUAAAACAUUUUAUGAAAACAUGUUUCUACCCUACUAGAGGCUUCCGACAUCCGCGAUUCCACCGGAUGAUAGGAAUUCCGAUACCGGAGUCUAGCCGGGUAUUACAAAGAAGUUUGCUAACUAUUUUUCAUUUAUAUGAGCUAUUUUUUAAAAAAAUUUAAUAAAAUUAUUAAAGAGAGAUAAGAAAAAUACAUCUCUGACUCUAUUAAAACUUGUAAAAGAAGAAGCUGUCUGUAUAAUGGUUAAUAAGACUUAUAUAGUUCUUCAAUGCACAUGGUCAGAAACUAGGGGCAAGCAGUAUUCGGUUCAAACUUAAAAAAUUGACCGAACCGAACCGAUUUGAAAAUUUGGUUCGGUUUUUUAUACAUUUCGGUUUGGUUCAAUUUUUAAUUUUAAAAAUUUCAGUUAUUUCAGUUCGGUUCGGUUUUGAUCAGAAAAAAAUCGAAAAAACUAAACCUGUAACGACCCGAAAAUCGGACUGCUACCGGCGCUAGGAUCCAGGUCGGCUUAAGGCCGCCGGAACCCGUAGCAAGCCUGACAUAAAACCUGUAAACCUGUUUAAUCCCAUACAUAAUCAAGAAUAUACAUAAAAAUUAAAACUUUUCUUUCAUACAUUCUCUCAUACACCAAACUCAACCUGUGCAUGCACUAAACAUAAACAUAACUAUAAACAUUGACCCCUCUUUGGGAUCUCAUCAAUGCCCCAAUGGGUGACAUAACAUGCAUUGAGUUGGUCUACAUAUACAUCAUAAAACAUCUAAGGUCAUGAAUUAAAAGGGAUAACAAUACUCUAUGGUCAAGCACACCUCUAACAUCCAUGAACAUUUUUACAUUACAUUUCUAUACUGUACUUAUACAUAACAUCUCAACAUUUUUCAUGCCCACACUAUCUAUUACAUAACCAAGACUUCAUUACUCUUGCUGACCUCCUGGUCUACCCUGUACCUGCAAACCUGGGGGUUAAGGGAGAGGGGUGAGCUAUAAAGCCCAGUGAGCAGAAUAAUAAAAUAUUUAAAACAUAUGGUAACAUGGAAUGCAUCACAUCACAAUCAUAUCACAUCAAGGAUGAAGUUGUCACCAAUAGUCCUCUACAUGGUCCAAUUGUGCCAGGGGCGUAGAAUGGGCCUCACUGGUCUUUCUCUUACAUAACAUAGCAUAACAUAACAUUCCAACUGUGCCAGGGGCGUAGAAUGGGCCUCACUGGUCUUUCUCUUACAUGGUGCCAGGGGCGUAGAAUGGGCCUCACUGGUCUUCCGUACCGUAUCAUCAUCAUAUCGUGACAUAUGAGGACUAAAGGAUCAUUCAACAUUCAUUCGCAUCAUCAAUAUAUUAUGCAAUGCAACAUAUUUGUGAGUUCUAAUGCAAGCACCCUAUUAUAUCUCAUGGUAUUCAUGAUACGUGAAUCAUGCUAAAACUGGUUUAUUUUAAAGCAUAAGAGUUAUUCCACUCACCUCUGGCUAUCUCUGACAGACACGGAAACAGCUGAACUCACUGCUGAGGUCCUCGGUUCCUCGGGUCCGAACCUACACAGGUGGACUCAAAUGAGGGACAAAAUAUACAUGAACAUGACUCUGGGAUACUCCCCAAAAACCCCCUAAAAACACCUCAAAACAUUCAUGGAAUACAUGCAAAGGAAGGCUGAACAGGGCACUUUCGACGGCGGGUUUGGCGGCCGAAAGUCCCUCCAGAGCCGAAAGUCAGGCAGGUUCGGCGGCACCUUCGGCGGCCGAAACUCCCAGACAGAGACAAAACUCAUGCAUGUUCGGCGGUACUUUCGGCGGCCGAAACUGCCCUCCAGAGAUGAAAGUCCUCUUUCGGGGGCAGGCUUCGGCAGCCGAAGGCUGCUUCCACAAGCGGGUUCAGCGGCCGAAAGUUCCUUCGGCGGCUGAACCGGAGUUUCUCCAAAGUGGCAGAAACUCAGCUCCAACAUGCACAAACGCCCCCCAAACCUUUCAAACAUGCAUAAACCUAUACUACAACACUCCCAAUCAUACACAAUCAAGCACACAAGUUCAUAGGGGUCUCAAACUAGCCUAAACCCCAACUACAACACAUCAAACAUACCCACAUUGCUCAAAAACACACAUUAAACCCAUAAACUCAAAACAACCUAAACAUGCAUUUCUACUUCAUGAAAAACUUAUAACUUGUUUAAAACAUAAAGUGAGCUCAAGAUCGGCCCUUACCUCUUGAAGAUCGAGAGGAAAACGACCCUAGCUCAGAGAUGGGAGAGAUUUGAGUUUCUUGAACCUCAAAGCUCCAAAACUUGCUUUAUACUUGAAAAUCUUCAAAACAAAGUGAAAACUAGUGAAAAUCGUGAAAGAUUUGAAGGAAGAAACUCAAGAUCGGUGAGGGACGGCGGAGAGCUCACCUUGGCCGAAAGUAGGGAGAAAAACUCGCCCGUUUUCGGCUAAGGGACCCCUUUAUAGGUGGCUGGCCAGGCCACAUUCGGGAGCCGAACGUGCC